rnacentral:rRNA from 1 species
CAGUAGCCGCGGUAAUACGAAGGGGGCUAGCGUUGCUCGGAAUGACUGGGCGUAAAGGGCGCGUAGGCGGCUGACACAGUCAGAUGUGAAAUUCCUGGGCUCAACCUGGGGACUGCAUUUGAGACGUGUUGGCUUGAGUGGAGAAGAGGGUCGUGGAGUUUCCAGUGUAGAGGUGAAAUUCAUAGAUAUUGGGAAGAACACCGGUGGCGAAGGCGGCGACCUGGUCCUUUACUGACGCUGAGGCGCGAAAGCGUGGGGAGCAAACAGGAUUAGAUACCCGAGUAGUCCCUGUCUCUUAUAA